GCAGCGGUGAUGAGCCUCUAACAUAUAAGAAGAAUCCUUAUUUUGGGAUUCUUUAAUGAAAUAUACAUGUUACGCUUGGCUUCUGAGCUUU
rnacentral:snoRNA from 1 species